rnacentral:rRNA from 1 species
AUUGAACGCUGGCGGCAGGCUUAACACAUGCAAGUCGAACGACUGGCGGACGGGUGAGUAAUGCUUGGGAAUCUCGCUUAUGGAGGGGGAUAACUACGGGAAACUGUAGCUAAUACCGCGUACCAUAGGAUGAGCCCAAGUGGGAUUAGGUAGUUGGUGGGGUAAAGGCUCACCAGGCCGACGAUCUCUAGCUGGUCUGAGAGGAUGGCCAGCCAAACUGGGACUGAGACACGGCCCAGACUCCUACGGGAGGCAGCAGUGGGGAAUAGUGCGCAAUGGGGGCAACCUGACGCAGCCAUGCCGCGGUAAUGAAGAAGGCCUUCGGGUUGUAAAGUACUUUCGGUAGCGAGGCGUUAACCACAGAAGAAGCACCGGCUAACUCCGUGCCAGCAGCCGCGGUAAUUC